CCUACGGGCGGCAGCAGUGAGGAAUAUUGGUCAAUGGACGAAACUCUGAACCAGCCAAGUAGCGUGAAGGAUGACGGCCCUAUGGGUUGUAAACUUCUUUUAUAUGGGGAUAAACUGUGCCACGUGUGGGCUUUUGUAUGUACCAUAUGAAUAAGGACCGGCUAACUCCGUGCCAGCAGCCGCGGUAAUACGGAGGGUCCGGGCGUUAUCCGGAUUUAUUGGGUUUAAAGGGAGCGCAGGCGGCUUCUGAAGUAAGUUGUGAAAUGUCGCGGCUCAACCGUGAAACUGCAGUGGAAACUGGCAGUCUUGAGUACAGUAGAGGUGGGCGGAAUUCGUGGUGUAGCGGUGAAAUGCUUAGAUAUCACGAAGAACUCCGAUUGCGAAGGCAGUUCACUGGAGUGUAACUGACACUGAGGCUCGAAAGUGUGGGUAUCAAACAGGAUUAGAUACCCCUGUAGUC
rnacentral:rRNA from 1 species